GCCCGCGUAGCUCAGUGGGAGAGCGACGCCUUCACACGGCGUAGGUCGGGGGUUCGACACCCUCCGCGGGCA
rnacentral:tRNA from 1 species